CCGUGCUAGCCGGGGUGGUAGCGGUGCCCUGUACUCACAAUCCGCUAUAGUGAGGGUGAUGCUCGCUUUCGACGUAUGGCUUGAUGGCCUGCCCUUCGAAAGCGGUGAUGAAGUCUGGUCUUACGCAACAUGAGCCUGUGAACCGUGUCAGGGUCGGAAGGCAGCAGCACUAAGCAGUCAACUUGUGUGUGUUGUAAGGGUGCCCGAUGGAGCUGUGGACGCUGGUAACGCAUGGGGCGAUACGGCAACAGCGAGCGUGUGG
rnacentral:SRP_RNA from 1 species